UACGUAGGGCGCAAGCGUUGUCCGGAAUUAUUGGGCGUAAAGAGCUCGUAGGCGGCUUGUCGCGUCGAUUGUGAAAGCCCGGGGCUUAACCUCGGGUCUGCAGUCGAUACGGGCUGGCUAGAGUGUGGUAGGGGAGAUCGGAAUUCCUGGUGUAGCGGUGAAAUGCGCAGAUAUCAGGAGGAACACCGGUGGCGAAGGCGGAUCUCUGGGCCAUUACUGACGCUGAGGAGCGAAAGCGUGGGGAGCGAACAGG
rnacentral:rRNA from 1 species